ACACAUUUGCAGCUUGAAGCGAGAGCCUCUCUCCGACGUCCCUUGCACCACUGGUGCCAAAACCACAAAGAAAAAACUCACAUCAAGACAUAUUUGUUGGAAGAGUUCAUGGCAUGAAGAGUAGUGGCUGAGAGCAGAGUUCGUGAAGCAGCUUACAGGUAAGUUUUCUACACCGUAUGUACCUUUUUUUUGUUUUUUCAGAGCUUGCACUCGCAGUUGCAUCCCAUCAACUGCAACCCUCAGGUGCCUGGAGUAUAUACUUGCACUCGUAACAUUGUCCAGCCCCUUCCAAUCAACAGAAGCUGUGCGUCCUGUCAGGCUAUGGAAGCAUAUAGAGACCACCGCAAAGAUGGAGACUGCAGCUGCCUCCAGUAGCCGGCCCAAGACGUCCACUCCCUUCGCAACGCGGAUGCUGCCCGUGAAGUCGCAUCCAACCACGCUUGCAAG